ACACAUGUCUUAAAUUUUUGGCUAAGAUCGAGUGUAGUAUCUGUUCUUAUCAGUUUAAUAUCUGAUACGUCUCCUAUCUGGGGAUCAUAUAUUAAACUGAUUUUUGGAACAGGGAGAUGGAAUAGGGGCUUGUUCCGUCCACUCCACGCAUCAACCUGGUAUGCAGUACUUCCAGAAGCGGUGCACUUUCU
rnacentral:snRNA from 1 species